GGUUAAGCGACUAAGCGUACACGGUGGAUGCCCUGGCAGUCAGAGGCGAUGAAGGGCGUGCUAAUCUGCGAUAAGCGCCGGUAAGGUGAUAUGAACCGUUAUAACCGGCGAUACCCGAAUGGGGAAACCCAGUGUGAUUCGUCACACUAUCAUUAACUGAAUCCAUAGGUUAAUGAGGCGAACCGGGGGAACUGAAACAUCUAAGUACCCCGAGGAAAAGAAAUCAACCGAGAUUCCCCCAGUAGCGGCGAGCGAACGGGGAGGAGCCCAGAGCCUGAAUCAGCAUGUGUGUUAGUGGAAGCGUCUGGAAAGGCGCGCGAUACAGGGUGACAGCCCCGUACACAAAAGCGCAUAUGCUGUGAGCUCGAUGAGUAGGGCGGGACACGUGGUAUCCUGUCUGAAUAUGGGGGGACCAUCCUCCAAGGCUAAAUACUCCUGACUGACCGAUAGUGAACCAGUACCGUGAGGGAAAGGCGAAAAGAACCCCGGCGAGGGGAGUGAAAAAGAACCUGAAACCGUGUACGUACAAGCAGUGGGAGCCCCACCACUAAGCCAGUGGUGAACUCCACAU
rnacentral:rRNA from 1 species